rnacentral:rRNA from 1 species
UACGAAGGGUGCAAGCGUUACUCGGAAUUACUGGGCGUAAAGCGUGCGUAGGUGGUCUGUUAAGUCUGAUGUGAAAUCCCGGGGCUCAACCCCGGAACUGCAUUGGAUACUGCCUUGCUAGAGUACUGGAGAGGGAACUGGAAUUUACGGUGUAGCAGUGAAAUGCGUAGAGAUCGUAAGGAAGGCCAGUGGCGAAGGCGAGUUCCUGGACAGUUACUGACGCUGAGACGCGAAAGCGUGGGGAGCGAACAGG